AUUGAACGCUGGCGGCAGGCCUAACACAUGCAAGUCGAACGAGUGGCGGACGGGUGAGUAAUUUCUGGGGAUCUGCCCGAUGGAGGGGGAUAACUACUGUACCCGGUAGCUAAUACCGCCUCCUAUCGGAUGUGCCCAGAUUGGAUUAGCUAGGAGGUGGGGUAACGGCUCACCUAGGCGACGAUCCCUAGCUGGUCUGAGAGGAUGACGAGCCACACUGGAACUGAGACACGGUCCAGACUCCUACGGGAGGCAGCAGUGGGGAAUAGUGCACAAUGGGCGCAAGCCUGAUGCAGCCAUGCCGCGUGUAUGAAGAAGGCCUUAGGGUUGUAAAGUACUUUCAGCGGGGAGGCGUUACCCGCAGAAGAAGCACCGGCUAACUCCGUGCCAGCAGCCGCGGUAAUAC
rnacentral:rRNA from 1 species